CUGGCUCAGGAUGAACGCUGGCGGCAGGCUUAAUACAUGCAAGUCGAACGGUAACAGGUUUUGGAGCAAUCCAAAAUGCUGACGAGAGGCAAACGGGUGAGUAACGCGUAGAUACUUUUCUUAAGUAAGGGAUAGCUGGCUGAAAGGUCAUGUAAUAUCUUAUGUGGUCGAAAGAUUAAAGCCGCAAUGCGCUUAAGAUGAGGUCUGCGUCCCAUCAGCUUGUUGGUAGGGUAAUGGCCUACCAAUGCAGAGACGGGUAGCUGGACUGAGAGGUUGAUCAGCCACACUGGGACUGCGACACGGCCCAGACACCUACGGGUGGCAGCAGUAAGGAAUUUUCGGCAAUGGGCGCAAGCCUGACCGAGCCAUGCCGCGUGCAGGAUGCAGGUCCUACGGAUUGUAAACUGCUGUGGUAGUCUACUAAGUUCUGAAGAGACUAUUAGAAAGAGGUUGCUAACUCUGUGCCAGCAGCAGCGGUAAUACAGAGACCUCAAGCGUUAUCCGGUAUCACUGGGCGUAAAGCGUUCCGAUAGGUGGUUUAGUGUGUCUGAAGUUAAAAGCUGAAGCUUAACUUUGGUUCGCUUUAGAAACUACUAAACUAGAAGAGUAAGAAGGUGGCUGGAACUCUGCAAGUAGGGGUGAAAUCCGUUGAUAUGCAGGGGAACACCAAAAGCGAAGGCAGGCCGCUGAGUACUUCUUGACACUGCUAGGACGAAAGCGUGGGGAGAGAACGGGAUUAGAUACCCCGGUAUUCCACGCCCUAAACGAUGAGUGCUAGCUUUUGGAAGAUAUCAAUCUCUUUCAGAGGCAAAGCUAACGCGUUAAGCACUCCGCCUGUAGAGUACGAGCGCAAGCUUAAAACAUAAAGGAAUUGACGGGAACCCGCACAAGCGGUGGAUCAUGUGGCUUAAUUCGAUAGUGAGCGAGGAACCUCACCUAGGCUUGACAUACAGCUGCACGUCCUAUGAAAGUAGGAUUUCUUCGAGAGUGCUGUACAGACGAUGCACGGUCGUCGUCAGCUCGUGUCGUGAGAUGUUCGGUUAAGUCCGGUAACGAGCGCAACCCCUAUCCUUAGUUAUUUAAUGUCUAAGGAUACUGCCCAAGUUUAAUUGGGAGGAAGGAGGGGAUGACGUCAGAUCAGCGUGUCUCUUACGUCUAGGGCGGCACACAUGAUACAAUGGGUAGAGUACAAUAGGACGGCAAUAGGGCAACCUUGAGCAAAUCCUAUCAAAACUUCCCUCAGUUCGGAUCGAAGUCUGCAACUCGACUUCGUGAAGCUGGAAUCGCUAGUAAUCGCGGAUCAGCCUCGCCGCGGUGAUACGUUCUCGGGUUUUGUACACACUGCCCGUCACGCCCUGGGAGUUGGAAGAGCCCCAA
rnacentral:rRNA from 1 species